UACGAAGGGUGCAAGCGUUACUCGGAAUUACUGGGCGUAAAGGGUGCGUAGGUGGUUUGUUAAGUCUGCUGUGAAAUCCCCGGGCUCAACCUGGGAAUGGCAGUGGAUACUGGCAAGCUAGAGUGCGGUAGAGGGUAGUGGAAUUCCCGGUGUAGCAGUGAAAUGCGUAGAGAUCGGGAGGAACACCAGUGGCGAAGGCGGCUACCUGGACCAGCACUGACACUGAAGCACGGAAAGCGUGGGUAGCAAACAGG
rnacentral:rRNA from 1 species